rnacentral:rRNA from 1 species
CCUGGUUGAUCCUGCCAGUAGUCAUAUGCUUGUCUCAAAGAUUAAGCCAUGCAUGUGUAAGUACAGGCCGACUUAAGGCGAAACCGCGGACGGCUCAUUAAAUCAGAUAUAACUCAUUGGAUCUCUGCUGAACCGCAUUACUUGGAUAACUGUGGUAAUUCUAGAGCUAAUACAUGCCUUUGUAGUCUCCGACCGCGAGGGAGGAGCGCUUUUAUUAGACCAAAACCCUCGGCAGCCGGUUCCCGCAAGGGCGGCCGCACACAUCUUGGUGAAUCAGAAUAACUUUUGCCGAGCGCACGACCCCUCCCGUAACCCGGUUGGGUCGGCGCCGCGUCCUGCAGGCGUCUGCCUUAUCAGCUCUCGAUUGUAGGUUAAACGCCUACAAUGGCUAUCACGGGUAACGGGGAAUCAGGGUUCGAUUCCGGAGAGGGAGCCUGAGAAACGGCUACCACAUCUAAGGAAGGCAGCAGGCGCGCAAAUUACCCACUCCCGGCACGGGGAGUAGUGACGAAAAAUACUGUUGCGAGCCCCGAACGGGGCCUCGCAAUUGGAAUGAGUACACUUUAAAUCCUUGUACGAGGAUCGAGUGGAGGGCAAGUCUGGUGCCAGCCGCCGCGGUAAUUCCAGCUCCACUAGCGUAUAUUAAAGUUGUUGCGGUUGAAACGCUCGUAGUUUGACUUCUGCUCCGGACCGGCGGUCCGCCUUAGCGGCGGCUACUGCCGGGUUCCGAGCUGUGUCCCGCCGGCGCACAUGGGUUUUUAUGCCCUUAACCGGGUGUCCCUUGUGGCCGGCACGUUUACUUUGAAAAAAUUAGAGUGCUCAGAGCAGGCUGGUUUUUGCUUACAGCCCGAAUGGUCGUGCAUGGAAUGAUGGAACAGGACCUCGGUUCUAUUUUGUCGGUUUUUCGGAACCCGAGGUAAUGAUUAAUAGAAGCAGACGGGGGCAUUCGUACUGCGACGCUAGAGGUGAAAUUCUUAGACCGUCGCAUGACGACCUACUGCGAAAGCAUCUGCCAAGGAUGUUUUCAUUGAUCAAGAACGAAAGUUAGAGGUUCGAAGGCGAUCAGAUACCGCCCUAGUUCUAACCUUAAACGAUGCUGACUAGCGAUCCGCCGCAGUUAUUCCCAUGACCGGCGGGUAGCUUCCGGGAAACCAAAGUCUUUGAGUUCCGGGGAAGUAUGGUUGCAAAGCUGAAACUUAAAGGAAUUGACGGAAGGGCACCACCAGGAGUGGAGCCUGCGGCUCAAUUUGACUCAACACGGGGAAACUCACCAGGCCAGGACACCGGAAGGAUUGACAGAAUGAAGGCUCUUUCUCGAUUCGGUGGGUGUGGUGCAUGGCCGUUCUUAGUUGGUGGAGUGAUCUGUCUGGUUAAUUCCGAUAACGAACGAGACUCUAGCCUGCUAAAUAGUCGACGGAUCUCAACCCCGUUGCCCCGUUGUCGUUCGCGGCGAUGCGGGCGCGGGUUCCCCGAAACCCGGUCGUCGUGCGGGCCUCCACCGUCGGUCGGUUAGCGCCGCCGGCGGCGCGCCCCGCGGCGCCGGAAACUGGCGUCCGCUUCGCAGUCUUCUUCUUAGAGGGAUAAGCGGCAGCAAAAAAUAUACUAGCCGCACGAGAGUUUGAGCCAUAACAGGUCUGUGAUGCCUUAGAUGUUCUGGGCCGCACGCGCGCUACAAUGGAGAGUUCAGCGAGCUGGCCCUGCUCCGAGAGGAGCGGGUAACCUCGUGAAAGCUGUCCUUAAAGGGGAUUGGGGCUUGCAAAUGUUCCCCAUGAACGAGGAAUUCCCAGUAGGCGCAAUUCACCAGAUUGCGCCGAUUUAGUCCCUGCCCUUUGUACACACCGCCGUCGCUACUACCGAUUGAAUGGUCUAGUGAGGGCACCGGACUGGCGCCCUUGGAGCCGCUACCGCCUCGGCGGCAGCGCCCUCGGGUCGACGGAAAGGUGUCCAAGCUGGGUCAUUUAGAGGAAGUAAAAGUCGUAACAAGGUUUCCGUAGGUGAACCUGCGGAAG